UGAAAAUGAUUGAAGGCAGGCUUGGGUUCGCAAGGAAGAAGGAGAGGCUUUUGACUGAAAAUGGAGGAAGAAUGCUACUGAUGGAGUAAUUGAUACUCAUUCAAGUUAGAUGCAAAUGAUUAUUUACCGCCGCCCAUUUGUUUGGUCAAAUUAUGCUUUUAAUUCUCAUGAAGCCAUCUCCCUUGUAGUGGUCCCCCAAUUUUGGGUAUUUAGAGCUUCGUUGAACAGUAAUGAAGCAUAGAUGAAAAUUAUCCCAUCCCUUCUUUUUAUUUCUCUCUUUGCUUCCCUUUAUUUCAAUACAAUCAUACAACAAUAACCCAUCUUAUCUAGAAAAUUACAAAAUAAAGAAAUCACAAAAAAUCAAUACAAAGGUACUCAAGAAGGUGAUGUGAUGUGCCCCACCGUUCAUGUAUUUUGGUGUCGAUUUCUUCACAUCGCCGACUCCCCUGCCUUCGGCACUCUUGAUUGGGGUUGCAUUCACAACUUAUGUCGUUGAAUUGAGAUUUGUGUGAUGUAUUGGGUUGGGAAAUUUGAUGUUGAUGUCGUCGAAAGCCAUGGAGGAGAGAGUCUUCUUGGCAUUGCAGACCUGCCCCUUGCCGAGGGGCUGCUGGCGGAGAGAAACAAAGAUAUGGGCGACACUAUGUUAGUAAAUUAUUUUUUAAAUAAGGAUAAAAUAAUAAAUUAUUAAAUAAUAAAAAUAUCUUUUUAAAUAAGGGGACUAUGUAGAGUAAAAUGGGCUAUUCAUAUAAUUACCUUUAAGUUUUAGUACUCAAUUCAAUAGAAUUGGACCAAACAAACCGGGCUUUGGCAGUUUUGGGGCUAAAUUCUUUUAGGCCCAAAACUGGGGCAACUCUAUUUUUGCAGAAACAGAAGAAGGAAGAACACAUGCAAUCAAUCGUGUAUGGACACAGAGAUUUGAAGAGGGAUCCAUGGCUUUAACAACUCGUCAAG
rnacentral:lncRNA from 1 species